rnacentral:rRNA from 1 species
UACGUAGGGGGCAAGCGUUGUCCGGAAUCAUUGGGCGUAAAGCGCGUGUAGGCGGUUCGGUAAGUCUGCUGUGAAAGUCCAGGGCUCAACCCUGGAAUGCCGGUGGAAACUGUCGAGCUAGAGUCCGGAAGAGGCGAGUGGAAUUCCUGGUGUAGCGGUGAAAUGCGCAGAUAACGGAAGGAACACCUGUGGCGAAAGCGGCUCACUGGACCAUAACUGACGCUGAUGCACGAAAGCUAGGGGAGCAAACAGG